rnacentral:piRNA from 1 species
UGCCCUGAUGAAAAUAGGCCACUGUUUU